rnacentral:snRNA from 1 species
GGAUCCGUAACUUCGGGAAAAG